UGGAUAUAACAACAGUCAUGACGUUCUCCAGAAAAACCUGGGACCCUGUUCUCUAGAAACACACACCGUUUCUGUACUUGUCACCAACAGGAGGAAUGUAAUCUGCCCAAAACGCAAACAAAGGACUUUAAAAGAGGUAAACAUUUCCUCUGCGCAUUUCCAGAAACAGAAGGCUUUGAAAGAAGAAGUAAAAGCGGCAAGACCGAACGUCCACCCUCACCGCGGUCAAGCCAGCCGCCAUUCGCAGUGUGAGCCGGCACAUGUGUCAAAAUUGCGACCUCACUGACAACUUUACGGUGGGUUUGAGACGACCAGCGCCCCGUUUGGAUCGUCAGCGAGACCAGACAGCUGCUGGCUGAGGUGGGGGAAGGAGCCUGAUGAAGGCGAACACUACAGCGAGACUGAAUAGGAACAGGAAGUUGUGGGUUGUGCUUAACGUUCAGUACCCCCCCCUUUGUAUUAUGUAUUAUGUUUGAUAUCACUAUUGUGAUUCUGUUUACCUUCAUUAUUAUAGUUUCAUAACUUUUUCCGUACGUUUUUUGACGGUGAAAAACUUUACCACACUUUAUUUGAUUCACACAAGCUUGGUAUCAAAACGUUCAGCACGUUAAGGACAUUGUUUAGUUGUGCACUUUACAGUUUUUGCGUAGUUACACAAGUUUUGUGUUUAUGUCAAGCCCCGUUAUAACCAGUAGGAUUCUUUUUGGGGUUUCCUUUUACAAAUCUCUGCAAAUUACACACGUCUUGCAAUUUAUGCAAUUCAAAACAUUCAGCAUAAAUUCAUGCUUGUACUUCAGGCAUUGUUAAAUUCAUGCAAGUUACACAAAAUUACACAAUUUAACACAUUUUAACACAAUGUGUGCAAAUUAUAAGCAAAUUCGGUAUGUUAUGCAAUUUUAAACAUCCAGCAUGCUCA
rnacentral:lncRNA from 1 species